UACGUAGGGGGCAAGCGUUGUCCGGAAUUACUGGGCGUAAAGCGCGUGUAGGCGGGACGGUCAGUCUGGCGUGAAAGGCUCGGGCUCAACCCGAGAUGGCCGCUGGAAACUGCCGUUCUUGAGGGUCGAAGAGGAGAGUGGAAUUCCCGGUGUAGCGGUGAAAUGCGUAGAGAUCGGGAGGAACACCCGUGGCGAAGGCGGCUCUCUGGUCGACAACUGACGCUGAGACGCGAAAGCGUGGGGAGCGAAC
rnacentral:rRNA from 1 species